GGAACAAACACUGGUGUGUCAGCGCUGUGCCGAGCACACAAGGGUGAAAGCCCGUAUUAGUGCGUGUAUUGCUUUAAGAAGAAAAUCAUGUGACCGAUACAGGAACUGUGUCGUUUGGAUGUGCCGUGCCAAAUUGUGUUUAUAAGGAAACAAACAGUGUCGACAUGUUCUGGAUUUGUUGGAUGGACUUUUGCUGUUGCUGUUGGAUUUUUUAUUUUUUUCUUGCCCUCACCUUGUUCCACUGACUUCAUGGAUCGUUCCAAGAAGUUUUCCCCAGUCUUUUGAUGCCAAAUAAGGUGAACUGCUCCACAGAGCUAUCUUACAUCAAUAAGAGCACUUCAUCAAUGCUGAGGCAUUAUAGAGCUCGGCAUGGCAAUGUAGAAUUGGCAGAUACUCAUUUCCUCACGAGCAAGCAGUGGAUGAGGCUGUGGUCAACAUGAUCAUCAAAGAGUGUCAGCCACUCACCAUUGUUGAAAAUGAGGGAUUCAGGGAGCUCCUGAAACUUAUCAACUCGCACUUAAAUUUUUAUGCUCACCAUCGUCAUCUGUACCCUGUGAAAGUUUUUUUUCUAAGGCAGGAGAACUCGUGUCUAAGAGGAGAAAUCGCCUUGGAGCAAAGACACUUCAAAAACCUUUGUUCCUCAAUA